UUCCAUGGUAACAGCAGUUGGACAUGGGUCAGUCGGUCCUAAGAGAUAGGGAAGCUCCGUUUUAAAGCGCGCGAUUUUUCGCGCCGCCUAUCGAAAGGGAAUCCGGUUAAAAUUCCGGAACCAGGAUGUGGAUCUUUAACGGCAACGUAACUGAACUUGGAGACGUUGGCAGGGGCCCCGGGAAGAGUUAUCUUUUCUCCUUAACAGCCUAUAACCCUGAAAUCAAUUUGUUUGGAGCUAGGGUUCAAUGGUUGGUAGAGCACAACAACUCUGUUGUGUCCGGUGCGUUCCUGACAACCCUUGAAAAUCCAAGGGAAUGAAUAAUUUUCACGCCUGGCCGUACUCAUAACCGCAGCAGGUCUCCAAGGUGAACAGCCUCUAGUUGAUAGAACAAUGUAGAUAAGGGAAGUCGGCAAAUUAGAUCCGUAACUUCGGGAAAAGGAUUGGCUCUAAGGGUUGGGUGCGUCGGGCCUUGGCAGAAAGCCUCGGGACCCGGCUGGGACUGCUGGGGGCAACCCCGGUGGACCUGGCUAGGACCUGAGUGUGGAUGGCCUUGGCUGCCCUUCACGGGGCGUCCGGCGCACGCUUAACAACCGACUUAGAACUGGUACGGACAAGGGGAAUCUGACU
rnacentral:rRNA from 1 species